UGGCGGACGGGUGAGUAACACGUGAGCAACCUGCCUUUCAGAGGGGGAUAACGUUUGGAAACGAACACUAAUACCGCAUAAAAUAUCGGAGUCGCAUGGCACUGAUAUCAAAGGAGCAAUCCGCUGAAAGAUGGGCUCGCGUCCGAUUAGGCAGUUGGCGGGGUAACGGCCCACCAAACCGACAAUCGGUAGCCGGACUGAGAGGUUGAACGGCCACAUUGGGACUGAGACACGGCCCAGACUCCUACGGAAGGCAGCAG
rnacentral:rRNA from 1 species